GACUAUUCUCGAUCCGUAG
rnacentral:snRNA from 1 species